rnacentral:miRNA from 1 species
GAACUGGCAGGUCCAACCUGGCGCA